UAGGGAAUCUUCCACAAUGGGCGAAAGCCUGAUGGAGCAACGCCGCGUGUGUGAUGAAGGGUUUCGGCUCGUAAAACACUGUUGUAAGAGAAGAAUGACAUUGAGAGUAACUGUUCAAUGUGUGACGGUAUCUUACCAGAAAGAAACGGCUAAAUACGUGCCAG
rnacentral:rRNA from 1 species